rnacentral:rRNA from 1 species
AGUGAACGCUGGCGGUAGGCCUAACACAUGCAAGUCGAACGGCAGCACAGUAAGAGCUUGCUCUUACGGGUGGCGAGUGGCGGACGGGUGAGGAAUACAUCGGAAUCUACUUUUUCGUGGGGGAUAACGUAGGGAAACUUACGCUAAUACCGCAUACGACCUACGGGUGAAAGCAGGGGAUCUUCGGACCUUGCGCGAUUGAAUGAGCCGAUGUCGGAUUAGCUAGUUGGCGGGGUAAAGGCCCACCAAGGCGACGAUCCGUAGCUGGUCUGAGAGGAUGAUCGGCCGCACGAGAACUGGAACACGGUCCAGACUCCUACGAGAGGCAGCAGUGGGGAAUAUUAGACAAUGGGCGCAAGCCUGAUCCAGCCAUACCGCGUGGGUGAAGAAGGCCUUCGGGUUGUAAAGCCCUUUUGUUGGGAAAGAAAAGCAGCAGGUUAAUACCCCGCUGUCCUGACGGUACCCAAAGAAUAAGCACCGGCUAACUUCGUG